rnacentral:rRNA from 1 species
UACGAAGGGGGCUAGCGUUGUUCGGAAUUACUGGGCGUAAAGCGUGCGCAGGCGGCCUUCCAAGUCAGGGGUGAAAGCCCAGAGCUCAACUCUGGAAUUGCCUUUGAGACUGUGAGGCUUGAGUACGGGAGAGGUGAGUGGAAUUCCCAGUGUAGAGGUGAAAAUUCGUAGAUAUUGGGAAGAACACCGGUGGCGAAGGCGGCUCACUGGCCCGAAACUGACGCUCAUGCACGACAGCGUGGGGAUCAAACAGG